rnacentral:rRNA from 1 species
GAUGAACGCUGGCGGCGUGCUUAACACAUGCAAGUCGAACGGAAAGCCCACAGCUUGCUGUGGUACUCGAGUGGCGAACGGGUGAGUAACACGUGGGUGAUCUGCCCUGUACUUCGGGAUAAGCUUGGGAAACUGGGUCUAAUACCGGAUAGGAAUCACAUGUGGGUGUGUGGUUGGAAAGCUUUUGCGGUAUGGGAUGAGCUCGCGGCCUAUCAGCUUGUUGGUGGGGUAAUGGCCUACCAAGGCGUCGACGGGUAGCCGGCCUGAGAGGGUGUACGGCCACAUUGGGACUGAGAUACGGCCCAGACUCCUACGGGAGGCAGCAGUGGGGAAUAUUGCACAAUGGGCGCAAGCCUGAUGCAGCGACGCCGCGUGGGGGAUGACGGCCUUCGGGUUGUAAACUCCUUUCGUCAGGGACGAAGCGAAAGUGACGGUACCUGGAUAAGAAGCACCGGCUAACUACGUG